AUACGUAGGUGACAAGCGUUAUCCGGAUUUACUGGGCGUAAAGGGCGUGUAGGCGGUCUUGCAAGUCAGAAGUGAAAUUCCUGAGCUCAACUCGGGCGCUGCUUCUGAAACUGCAGGACUUGAGUGCUGGAGGGGAUAGCGGAAUUCCUAGUGGAGCGGUAAAAUGCGCAAAUAUUAGGAAGAACACCGGUGGCGAAGGCGGUGAUCGGGACGGUAACUGACGCGGGGGCGCGAAAGCGUGGGGAGCAAACAGGAUUAGAUACCCUGUUAGGCCACGCCGUAAACGAUGAAUACUAGGUGUAGGGGGUAUCGACUCCCUCUGUGCCGCAGUUAACACAAUAAGUAUUCCGCCUGGGGAGUACGGCCGCAAGGUUGAAACUCAAAUGAAUUGACGGGG
rnacentral:rRNA from 1 species